rnacentral:rRNA from 1 species
ACAAGCGGUGGAGCAUUGUGGUUUAAUUCGAAGCAACGCGCAGAACCUUACCAGCCUUUGACAUCCUAGGACGACUUCUGGAGACAGAUUUCUUCCCUUCGGGACCUAGUGACAGGUGCUGCAUGGCUGUCAUCAGCUCGUGUCGUGAGAUGUUGGGUUAAGUCCCGCAACGAGCGCAACCCUCGUCCUUAGUUGCCAUCAUUAAGUUGGGCACUUUAAGGAAACUGCCGGUGAUAAGCCGGAGGAAGGUGGGGAUGACGUCAAGUCCUCAUGGCCCUUACAGGCUGGGCUACACACGUGCUACAAUGGCAUCUACAGUGGGCAGCUAUUCCGCAAGGAUGCGCUAAUCUCCAAAAGAUGUCUCAGUUCGGAUUGUCCUCUGCAACUCGAGGGCAUGAAGGCGGAAUCGCUAGUAAUCGCGGAUCAGCAUGCCGCGGUGAAUACGUUCCCAGGCCUU